rnacentral:rRNA from 1 species
UACGAAUGGAGCAAGCGUUGUUCGGAAUCACUGGGCUUAAAGCGUGCGCAGGCGGUUUUGCAAGUCAGAAGUGAAAGCCUGGGGCUCAACCCCAGAACUGCUUUUGAAACUGCAAAACUAGAAUCCUGGAGAGGUCGGGAGAAUUCCUAGUGUAGAGGUGAAAUUCGCAGAUAUUAGGAGGAAUACCAGUGGCGUAGGCGCCCGACUGGACAGGUAUUGACGAUCAGGCACGAAAGCGUGGGGAGCAAACAGG